rnacentral:lncRNA from 1 species
CAAAAUAGCACAUUUCUAUGUUUAUAUCACAAAAAUAGCACUCAAAAACUAAAAUGACCAAAAUAGCACCUUUCUAAGUUUAUAUCUUAUCCCCAAAACCUCAUUUUUCAAUUCUAAACCCUAAACCCUAAACUCUAAACCCUAAACCCUAAACUCUAAACCCUAAACCCUAAACUCUAAAUCCUAAACCCUAAACCCUAAACCCUAAACUCUAAACCCUAAACCCUAA